rnacentral:rRNA from 1 species
UACAGAGGGUGCGAGCGUUAAUCGGAAUUACUGGGCGUAAAGGGCGCGUAGGCGGCCUUCUAAGUCAGACGUGAAAUCCCCAGGCUUAACUUGGGAACUGCGUCUGAUACUGGGAGGCUUGAGUGCGGGAGAGGGAUGUGGAAUUCCAGGUGUAGCGGUGAAAUGCGUAGAUAUCUGGAGGAACACCGGUGGCGAAGGCGGCAUCCUGGACCGACACUGACGCUGAGGCGCGAAAGCUAGGGGAGCAAACGGG